rnacentral:tRNA from 1 species
GGGGUUGUGGCUUAGUGGUAGAGCGCUUGCCUAGCAUGUGCAAGGCCCUGGGUUCAAUCCUCAGCACCA